AAGACAGGAGGAAUGGUAAUAUACAAUAGAGUUUGAAGGGAUCCAUUGUGGUGUGAUUUGUAGUAGUUGUAGGCAAAGGUUGUUGGGAAUUUGAGAGCAAGUUAUGGGAGGAAGGGGUUGAUGGAUGAGAACACAGUGACAAUAAGUGAAACAGAAUCAUCGUCAUUGGCUGAGACUUGUGAGCAGGAGAGCUAGGGUUUCUUCUUUUUUUUUUUAAUCUCAUUUCAUUAUAAUGUGUAUUUUCUAUUAAGCGAAGGUCAUUAUAGUCAUCUUAUUGUGACAAGGGAGGUCAGCGUAAUUUGUAAAACCCGGGGGGAGUGAAAUUGUCAUAAACCUCAAGGGAGGUUUGUGAAACUAUCCCAUAUAAAAGUAGUACUUAGGUAACAGACGUCUGUGAUCUAAGAGUCACAGACACCAAUCUUUUCAGUUGUUCAUAAUUUCAAAAAGAAACCCAAUAGUUUUGUUAAUAAAAAAUAGACCAGUCCACCCUACCUCUCAUGAGCAAUGUCUCCAGGACUUGUGUCAUUCUUCCUCUUCCUCACACAAAUCACCUAUUUUUCACCCUUCUUGUCGCCUGCCACCUUUUCUCCUCCCACUCGUUCCCACUUUCGUACCCUCUUCCAAGUCCAAAUCCAAAUCCCAUCUCAUCAAUCUGCAAACCCCAAAUGGCCAUCUCUAUUUUAUCUUCUAUUCAUUACUCGCAACCUCUCCUCCCUUUUAAUACCUUCCAAUUUUCCAUGCUGAUCUUGAUGUUAACCCCGUGAUUCAUGAUCAACUGGCUGGCUGUAUAUUACAUGCACAUGCUUUGAAAAAAAGAGUGAUAUUGGGAUGAAGGUAUUUGUUUGAUUGAAAAGUUUACUGGAUACGUGAGAUUUGUGGAGUUCACUUGUUAAUUUUGAUUUCACAAGUAGUCCAUAAAAUCAUGGAAUUAAUUAGCCAUUGGACACAAUUGUGGCAGAAAUUGUGACAGUAUUGGAGUAAUGGAGAAGGUAAGAGGAAGGGUGUUAGAGAGAUCAGAACUAAGGAGGAAACCUUUUCUGUUGCACAUUGAACUAGACAAGCUGGUAGCCCAUUGGUGCUCCUUGCCAACUAAUCAUCCGUACCUCACAAUGAAGUAGCGGACUGUAAUUUAACCUUUCUCCGUAAACAUAUGGUAUCCAUGAUGAAAGAUAUGGCAAAUUAGCGAUAGGUAACCAUAAAUUCGUAGCUAUCUUGGUCUGACUUCAAUGGACACAUAUGCAGAUGGGAUGACAAAGAACUGCCACUUUUGGUGAUUUGAUUCCCAUAACUAACCUAACUCUAGAAGAUAAAGGAAAUGAACCAUAAAAAUUAAGUCUAUCUUCUACUUGCAAUCACUUUUAUUUUUCGAAGGCCAAAGAAGCUAUUGCAGAAAGAGACUAAAAUAUUCAAGAAAUUCCCAAUUACUUACAAAAGCAUCAAAACGCGAUCUACUACACUCCUUACACAUCAAAAGGUACAAGUACAGCUGCAGCAGCACAUUAAACCAGAAAACAUAUGGAAAGAUAUUGCAUUUCCAACAUCCGUAAAAACAAAAUGCACCUGGUUUUUAACAAAAUGACAAGUUCUAAGAAGCACUAAUAAGGGAUCUUCUCAUCUAUCUGUGCUUGAUAAAGCCCUCAAUUCAAAUUGUCCCAAGGAAGCAACCCAAAAGUAGCAACAACACUUGCUUCUACUUUAAGAAUAUGACAUGCACUUAAAAGUUCUUAAUUGGUGCACAAGUUUGUGGCCUCAUAAGGAGGUUUUGGAAGUUCUAAAUAUAAUUAUCUUUAUCAUUGAGAUGUAAGUAGACUAAUUUGUCUAUCAGAACAGUAUUCUCAUUACUAACUACUAUGAUACAGCAUAAGUAUCAACCCUGAUCUCGACGCCUACGAGGUUUAGGAAGCAUUAAAAACAAUCAUUCUAAUGAUCCUGAAAUGUAAAUCGACAAUCUUUGUACCAAAAACAUUAAUCUCCGCUAAAUCCGAGGAUAAAACCAUAUUUAUAGUGCACAAAGACAUUCUCUUUGACUUCAAUCUAGGCGCCAUUAGGCAGGUAGAAAACAUUUUUUCGACAUUUUUCCCCAAAAAACUAUCUUCAGCAUUUUAAAUUGAAGCAUAAAAUACAUAUAACAAGUGAUAAAUUUUCUUGACAUUCAUAACAAAUAGCUAGCAAAUCAAACCCAAAAAAGAAUAAAAAACAAAAAACCAAACUUUCCCAUGGUAAGCACUUCCAAAAAAAAGAAAAGAAGAUAGAAACAUAAUACCAUUUUAAGCUAAAACCAAAGGAUUCACCCGCAAUUUUGUCUAACAAACCUGAAUUUCCUCAAAGUUUUCUCUAAAGAUUAAUUAAAUAUCAAUUAAGCAAAGAUGAGGAAUGAAGCACUACGAAAAGGGAAAGAGAGAAGAUAGAAAUGAGAAAAGGGAAGUGAAAACUAACCAUGGCUGGGGAGGAUUCAAAAUCAGAGGAAAUAACAAUGGCUGAUUAUUCCAACAGAAAAGAAAGUUUGCGAUCUGAUUGGCUCAAAAGGAAUUAGGAUUUGGAGGGAAAAAUUAGGGUUUUUGUCGAAGCGGAUGAAUAGCGAGGAGGAGGAGGAGCUUUGGGGGUAGGACGGCCAGUUACGUUUGCCAGCAAAUACUUCGAGCUUGUUUGGAGCUGCUUUAAAAAUGCCGGAUUAUGUUGCAUUUGCCUCCCCUAUUCUUUACUUAAAUUAAAAUUGGAGACCCUCUAAUUUGCAAAAUUAUCUUUACACGGCUUGUUGAGAGUGGCAUUAAUUGGGUUUUAUGAGUCGGGUUUUAAUAAAUUCACAACGAGUCAAAAAAAAAAGGUAAAAGAUUCAAGUUUUCGAAUUUACAUGAUGAGGGUCAUACUGAACUCAUAAAUGUAUUGGGACUUCGACUUAUUUUAGACUCGGCUUAUCAAUACUAAAUAUUAUAUUAUUAUUAUUUUUAUUAUAAAUUUAUAUCCAAAACAUAAACUACAUAUAUUAUCACUAGUGUAGACACCAAAAUUUUACCAUUUUAUUUAUUUAUUUUUAGUUAAAUUUUAUUUUAUUUUUUCAUUUCUUUUUUUUUGAGAAAAUUGGAAAAAAAAGAGAGAAAAUAAAAGAAAAGCAAAGAAAAGAAAAGUAGAAAACAAAAAUCAGAAAUCAGUUUUGUAAAAAAAAAAAAAAAUCUCUUCCACACCCGCGUGCAUGGCAAGCGCGCCAUUCUUUAUCACCAUUGUACCAACCCACAAGCAAGAAAUAGUACAAGAAAUUCCAGCUGCCAUUUUGGGUCCAAUUUUCUCUUGAAUCCCGCUCCAUUUUCCUCCUUUUCAAGUCUUCCAGUACAAGUGCCAGAUCAACUAUCAAUUUUUAUCCAAAACCCAUCAUCUAAUGGUUCAAAAUCAACCCCUAAAAGCUAACCCAUCCUCAUUGUUGCUCCCAGGGUUUGGGGGGGAGGGAUUUGUGCCAUAUAAAUGGAUAAAGAUGCAGCCAUUAAAAGAGGAGAAAAAGAGGAAAGACGGCGGAGCAAGAAAAAAACAAAAAGAAAAACAGCAAAAAGAGAGAUAAUGAAGAGAGGAAGAACAAGAGAAAAUUAUGUAAAAAUUUCGUGACCAGGCUGAUUCACUAGCCUAGUUCUGUCUCGAAUUCCGGCGUAGAUUUUAGGUUUUUGAGAGGACUCUUGCUUUUCUGCACUUUCCUAUGGUACAAUAGAAUAACUUUCAUUUAGAAGUCACUUUGAAAAAACGCCUCCAAGCUGGUCAAAUUGAAGCUCAAAAUAGCUGAUUCAUCAACGCUGCGGUUUCUGCGACACAAUUUUGCUAGGCUUCAUUUCACAAAUCAACACGCAUUUUUGGGAGUAUCUCACGUCCAUUCCACUGUGCAAGUACUCUCAGGUAACCAUGACAAGUGCCAGAUCAACUAUCAAUUUUUAUCUGAAACCCAUCAUCUAAUGGUUCAAAAUCAACCCCUAAAAGCUAACCCAUUCUCAUGGUUGCUCCCAGGGUUUGGGGGGGAGGGAUUUGUGCCAUAUAAAUGGAUGAAAAUGCAGCCAUUAAAAGAGGAGAAAAAGAGGAAAGGCAGCGGAGCAAGAAAAAACAGAAAGAAAAACAGCAAAAAGAGAGAAAAUGAAGAGAGGAAGAGCAAGAGAAAAUUCUGCAAAAAUUUCGUGACUAGACUGGCUCACUAGCCUAGUUCUGUCUCGAAUUCCGGCAUAGAUUUUAGGUUUUUGAGAGGACUCUUGAUUUUCUGCACUUUCCUAUGGUACAGUAGAAUAACUUUCAUUUAGAAAUCACUUUGAAAAAAAAAAAUGCCUCCAAGCCAGUCAAAUUGAAGCUCAAAGUAGCCGAUUCAUCAACGCUGCGGUUUCUGCGACAAAAUUUUACUGGGUUUCAUUUCACAAAUCAGCACGCAUUUUUUGGAGUAUCUCACGUCCAUUCCACCAUGCAAGCACUCUCAGGUAACCAUGACUCAUCUCCUUGUUGAUUUAACACGUUUUUCACAAAGAUUUAAAUCCAUUGGACAUGAACUCUUGUACUUUUGCUGCUGGUGCCAUUUUCUCGUUUCAUUGGUUUUGCCAUGCUUGUUUCCUGACGAUUUAUGGUUCGAUAAUGGCCACUUCUCAUCAGUCCACUUCUUCCACCGAAGGGGUUCAAUUGCUCCCUGUGGAACUGGGAUCAUCCGAAGCAUCCUCUGACUCCGUCAGGGUUCCCUUCAGCUUCUUCAUUGCCCUGAACAGCCAGUCCAAUUCCUGGAUAAAUCGAAGGCUCGCUAGGUGAAGGGCGAAAUACAUCCCGAGGAGCACUACGUGCUCCAUGCCACAGUCCCUCACCACCGCGAAGAAUUCUGUCAUGUCCCUCAUGUUUGCCAUUUCUUCUGAUUUUUCAAAAAGCACCGUAUCGAGCAAUCUCCUCAAAUAGGGCGUGUCCCGCAAGAAAUGCUCAAAGUCCUCUAUCACCGCGAUAUUUAUCGUUUUCUCCUUCUGCCACGUGUCGCGCAUCAAAAUUUGAAUGGGAUACAAUCCUGCCCACGUCGAGAUUGCCAGCACGUGUUCCCGGUUUGGCGGUUGCGAUACGCGGCACGUGGCAGAAGGAGAAGACGAUAAAUAUCACGGUAAUGGAAGACUUUGAGCAUUCCUUGCUGGACACGCCCUGUUCGAGGAGAUUGCUCGAUACGAUGCAUUUUAAAGAUCAGGAGAAAUGGCAAACAUGAGGGACAUGGCAGGAUUCUUCGCGGUGAUGAGGGACUGCGGCAUGGAACACAUAGUGCUUCUCGAGAUAUACUUUGCCCUUCGCCCAAGGAGCUUUCGAUUCAUCCGAAAAUUGGACCGGCUGUUCAAAGCAGUGGAGAAGUUGAAGGAAACCCUGACGAAGUCAGGAGAUGCUGCGGAUGAUCCCAGUUCCACCGGGAGCAAUUGAACAUCUUCGGUGGAAGAAGUGGACUGAUGAGGAGGAAUCGAACCCUCGGACUCAUAAACCCCUUUGAUCGAGGAGAUGGACCCCACAUACACAGCGAUAUACAUAGAAAUGUAAUGUAGCAUACGGCAUAGUAUUUGAGUAUUUGUACGUAGAUAGGGAUUUAAUGCAGAUUUCAUCCUUAAAUAAAAUGCGUACAAAUUUAAAAUCUCCUUUCCUACAGUUAAUCCAGAUACGUGGCAGGGACUUACACGCUAAUUUUAGAUUAAUCGGACUUAUGACGCCGUAAUUACAUAAUUGGCUCGUUAUAAGAGUCCUGACCCUAUCAUUAAUCCUAUUGGGAUCCACGUCCUUCAAGGACUAGGGAGUCCUGAUCAGGAGCCGUGCCCACAUCUUGUCGAGACGGAGCCUCUUACGGAGAUUGUAGUUUGCCCGAAUUGACACCGACCAAGUGAUCGGACUGGCCUGGAACGUGGUGAAGUAGAGGGGAUCCUUCUGGAACUCCCAAGAGUAACUUUCUUGUUGCAUUAAUGCUGAGAACGUGGUGUCUCUUAUUGCAUCCAUUGCUGUGCAGGAUGCAGCAUCCACACGCGAACUUAAUUCUUGUUGUUCACCUUUUCUUUUUCUUGGACGGGUGGUGCUUGAUCUUAAUAUCUGGGGGCAAAUAAGUGCUAUUCGAAGAAGGAGAAUGUCGCAUUCUGCUUAAUGGGGUUGAAUCAUUGGGGUGAGAUGGAGUGCAUUUAAAUAGCAAUUGGAAUGAGGAUUGAUGAAUACGCUUCUGAGAGUUAUAUAUUUUCUUCAUUGAUGAUCACUAUGGUUGAGCCUACUGUUAUAUUUAUUGGGUCUGGUGCGAGAUCCAAUGACAUUUUAAAUGGCCCAUUGGAUCAAUAAGUUAUCAACAUUUUCGAUUAAAUUGACUUGGGCCUGGUGGAAGACUCAUGAGAAAUUAAUUGGCCCAGUUGUUCUCUAAUUGACCUAUUAAAUCAAACAUUUGAUAAUACAUUCGGAGAUUAUUUACUGGAUCUGGUGCAUUACCCAGUGACAAAUUAAAUGGCCCAGUAGAUCAAUAAAUUGAUAACAUUUUCGAUUAAAAUGACUUGGGCCUGGUAUGAGACCCAAUUAACACUUGAUCGAGAAUACGUUGGGUCUCAGUAUAAGUAGCCCACACAUUGAUAACCCUAAUUCUAUUCACUUAUCCUCCCCGGCAAGUGUAGCGGCACACAAGUUCUUUAAUUUGUCAAAUGAGAAGCUUCUCGGACCUUAAGGUCCGAAGGAUCUAGAAUUGAUACGAUUGUCCUCUGAUGAGUCAUUCUCUGAUGGAACAUUCAUUCUAUCAGAUAAAAUAUCGAUUGUGAUCGAUACUCCAUUAGAUAGAAUAUGGAGAAUGUGGAACACCUUCGAAAAAUAAUUCUUGCAUCGUAUGUAUAAAUUCACUCGAAAUCUGGAAGAUCUUGGUAUUUUCAUUGAAUAUUGAUCGUAUUCUUAGUUUUGAUGAAGAUGAGAUGAUUGGGAAGUAAGUCUUUUGUGUUUCUGGUGAGAAACAGUGAAUUGAAUCGAAAGAAAGAUGAUGAUACAUUGUUACCAGCACUACCCAAAUGACGUCACCCAACCCAAUAGAAUGACGUCACCCAACCUAUUCUAGAGUAUCUGUUGCAUUGGGUAGACUGGAUUGAGUGAGCCCCCUUAAUGAUCAGUUUCCGAGCGUCUUAUAAUAUUAUUAAAGACGCUCGGGGCGGCACGUGGACGGUGGAUAGGGUGUCCACGUGUUGUCCAUUCGAAGGAUAGACAGUUCAGAUUUGAUCUCAUGAGAAGAGAGAAAGGGCAACCCAGGACCUGGGUUGCAUGGCCCGCAAUGCGGGCUCUUCCUGUCUUGCCACGUGGUCGAAGGCCACUGGCCGUUCGGAAGAGCACGGCCCUACUAGGAUGAACAGUGCUAUUGGAUUGAGUAGAGAACAGUUCCUGAUGGCACUGUUGGAAUUCGAAUUCGAAAUUGAAAUUUUGAAUAAUCUUGCCCGCAUCGAAAUUUGAAUGUGACACAAUCACGCCUACGUCGGGAUUGCCGACACAUGUCCUCGAUUUGGUGGUCGUUAUGCGCGACACGUGGCAGAAGGAGAGGACGAAAAAUAUCGCGGUGAUGGAAGACUUUGAGAUUCCUUGUUGGACACGUCCUGUUCGAGGAGAUUGCUCGAUACGGUGCGUUUUGAAAACUAGAAGAAAUGGCAAAUAUGAGGGACAUGGCAGGAUUCUUCGCGGUGGUGAGGGAUUGCAGCAUGGAGCAUGCACUGCUCCUCGGAAUGUGCUUCGCCUUUCGCCUAGGGAGCCUUCGAUUCAUCCAAAAAUUGGACCAGCUGUUCAGGGCAAUGAAGGAGCUAAAGGGAACCCUGACAGAGUCAGGAGAUGCUGCGGAUGAUCCUAGCUCCACCGGGAGCAAUUGAACCCCUUCAGUGGAAGAAGUGGACUGAUGUGAAGGAAUCGAUCUCGGACUCGUGAACCCCUUCGAUCGAGGAGAUGGACCCCACAGACACAGUGAUAUACGUAGAAAUGUAAUGUAGUAUACAGCAUAGUAUUUGAGUAUUUAAACGUAGAUAGAGAUUUAAUGCAGCAGUGCCACAUGUAAUAAAUACGAACUAUAGAAAUAACAAUACUUCAUUUCAUUUCAUCCUUAAAUAAGAUGUGUACAAAUUCGAAAUCUACUUUUCCGCAGUUAAUCCAGACCCGUGGUAGGGACCUACAGGCUAAUUCUAGAUUAAUCGGACUUAUGACACCGUAAUUACAUAAUUGGUUGGUUAUAAGAGCCCGGACCCUAUCAUUAAUCCUAAUGGGAUCCACGUCCUUCAAGGACUAAGGAGUCUUGAUCAGGAGUCGUACCCACAUCUUGUCGAGACGGAGCCUCUUGCGGAGGUUGUAGUUUGCCCGAAUUGACACCGACCAAGUAGUCGGACUGGCAUGGAACGUGGUGUCCCUUAUUGUAUCUAUUACGUUGGAGGAAUAGAUAGUCACAUGCGAACUUAAUUCUUGUUGUUUGCCUCUUCUUCUUGGAUAGGUGGUGCCCGAUCUUGAUUUGUGAGUACGAAUAGGAGCUGUUUGAGGAAGUAGAAUGCUGCAUUCUGCUUAGUCCAGUUGAGAUGAUCCAAACGAUCUGGUGCACUUAAAUAAUCGUGAUAUAAAGAAUUAGGACCAGGAUUGCAAAGUACAAUAGUUGGAAUUCCUCAUUUUAUUUUCCUUGAUUUGGCAUGUUUGCAAUUGAAUGACCAAUCUCGUUGUGCCCCGAGAAAUUUUUUACAGUGUUUGAGAAACUGAGGGUUAACGUCAUCUAUGAUGUUAUAUCACGCAUUGUCACAGUGAUGGGCCAAAUCAAUAUGGCCUACAUAGUAAUUAUGUGCCUGAGGAUUGAGAUUUCUAACUCAACAUGAUUUACCAAUUCGACUUGGAUCUUCUAUUAUUAUGGACAUAGGUCUGUGUGAUCUGUUAGUAUGCCCAAUUACAAUUUGGGUGGCCCAAUUUAUCAAGAACAUAGGAACUUAUUGGGUCUGAGGGAAUAGAGCCACGUAUGGUUCUGGUGGCUUCUGGAAUAUUCUGUCGAGAUUAUUCGAUAAUUUAUCAUAGUGAAUGAUGAAUAAUUGAGGAUCGCCCUUCUUGAUGACAUCAAGGGCCAUUCCCUUAUCAUCCUUGACAAGCGCAGCGGCAUAUACCUCCUCCGUUUUGUCAGAUGAGAAUCUGCUCUUGCCAUCUGGUCGAAAAUUGCCCCAUUCGACAAAAUCUUUCUAUUUUGAUAUAUAAUCCCUAACUGCGGAUGAAUUCCUUGCGCCUUGAACAUUGGGAUAGAACAUUGAAUUUGAAUUGGGUGAUUUGAUAUCGAAUAAUCUUGCAGAUUCAGUGCGAAAUUUACCUGUGAAUUAAAUCAGCUAAUGUAGAUGAGGAAAUCCAUCUUGAUGGAUUUCAUGAGCAACUAGUAUGUAAAUGGGAGAAAUAGGGAAUUGGAUGUUCCUAAUUGCAUCUAAUGCUUGUUCUUUGGUAAAAACACACCGGGGAUAAGUGAAGAAGUUAUUCUUUGCAUUGAUGAAGAAGGAAGAAAGUGAUCUGGACAUAUUGAAUCUCACUAUAAUCUGAUUACGUCACCCACCCCAAUACAAACUGUCCCUAGUAUUGGAUAGAAUAAGUUGGCUUAUAAAGCCCUUCCCAAGCGUCUUACAAUACUACUAAAGACGCUCGGGGCGACACGUAGACAGUGAUGGAUAGAGUGUCCACAUGUUCUCCAUCUGAAGAAUGGACGGUCCGGAUUUGAUCUCAGGAGAAGGGAGAAUUGGCAAUCCAAGACCUGGGUUGUAUGGCCCGCAGUGCAGUGUUGGAACAUAGGUCGCCGUACUCCUUCGGCCAUGUGGCCGCUCUGAAGAGCGCGGCCCCACUAGAAUGAACGGUGGUGCAAUUGGGUUGAGUAGAGAAUAGUGUCCGGUGGCACUGUUAAAAUUCGAAUUUAAAAUUAGAAUUCGAAAUUAAAAUUUCGAAUAAUCUCACCCACGUCAAAAUUUGAAUGGGAUACAAUCCCACCCACGUCGGGAUUGCCAACACGUGUCUCCAAUUUGGUAGUCGCGAUACGCAGCACGUGGUUGAAAGAGAGGACGAUAAAUAUCGUGGUCAUGGAAGACUUUGAACAUUCCGUGCUGGAUACGUCCCGUUCGAGGUGAUUGCUCGAUACGGUGCGUUUUGAAAACUAGAAGAACUGGCAAACAUGAGGGACAUGGCAGGAUUCUUCGCGAUAGUGAAGAACUGUGGGAUGGAGCAUGUAGUGCUCCUUGGAAUGUACUUCGCCUUUCGCCUAGGGAGUCUUCUAUUCAUCCUGGAAUUGUAUCGGCUGUUCAGGGAAGUGAAGGAGUUGAAGGGAACCCUGACGAAGUCAGAGGAUGCUGCGGAUGAUCCAAGCUCCACCGGGAGCAAUUGAACCCCUUCGGUGGAAGAUGUGGACUGAUGAGGAGGAAUCGAACCCUCGGACUCAUGAACCCCUUCGAUCGAGGAGGUGGACCCCUCAUGCACAGUGAUAUACGUAGAAAUGUAAUGUAAUGUAGUGGACCCCUCAGGGCAUAGUAUUUGAGUAUUUGUACGUAGAUAGGGAUUUAAUGCAGCAGUGUCACGUGUAAUAAAUACGCAUUGUGAAAAUACUAAGACUUCAAUUCAUUUCAUCCUUAAACAAGAUGCAUACAAAUUCGAAAUCCGCUUCCCUGCAGUUAAUCCAGACACGUGGCAGGGACCCACACGCUAAUUCUAGAUUAAUCGGACUUAUGACGCCAUAAUUACAUAAUUGACUCGUUAUAAGAGAUCCGACCCCAUCAUUAAUCCUAAUGGGAUCCACGUCUUUUAAGGAUCAGGGUGUUCGGAUUAGGAGCCGUGCCCACAUCUUGUCGAGACGGAACCUCUUGAGAAGGUUGUAAUUUGGCCGAAUUGACACCGAUCAAGUGGUUGGACUAGCCUGGAACGUGGUGUCCCUUUUUGUAUCUAUUACACUGGCGGAAUAGACGGCCACACACGAACUUAAUUCAUGUUAUUAGCCUCUUCUUUUUGGACAGGUGGUGCCUGAUCUUAAUUUGUGAGUGCGAAUAGGGGCUGUUCGAGAAAGUAGAAUGCUGCGUUCUGCUUAAUCCAGUUGAGGAGAUCCACACAAUCUGGUGCACUUAAGUAGUCGUGAUACGAAGAAUUGGGACCAGAAUUGCAGAGCACAAUAGUUGGAAUUUCCCCUUUUAUUUUCUUUGGUUUGACAUAUUUGCAAUUGGAUGACCAAUCUCAUUGUGCCCCUAAGAAUUCUUUCCAGUGUUUGAGAAAUUGAGGGUUUACGUCAUUUAUGAUGUUAUACCAUGCAUUGUCACAGUGAUGGGUCAAAUCAAUAUGGCCUGCAUAGUAAUUGUGUGCCUGAGAAUUGAGACUUCUAAUCAGCAUAUUUUACCAAUUCGACUCGGGUCUUCUAUUAUUAUGGACAUAAGCCUGUGUGAUCUGUUAGUAGGCCCGAUUAUAUUUUGAAUGGCUCAAUUUAUCAAGAACAUAGGAACGUGUUGGGCCUGAGGGAAUAGAGUCAUGUAUGAUUCUGGUGGCUUCUGGAAUAUUAUGUCGAGAUUACUCAAUAAUUUGUCGUAGUGAAUGAUGAAUGAUCGAGGAUCGUCCUUCUUGAUGACAUCAAGGGCCAUUCCCUUAUCGUCCUUGGGCGCAGCGGCAUAUACUUCCCUCGUUUUGUCAGAUGAGAAUAUGCUCCGACCAUCCGGUCGGAAAUUGCCCCAUUCGACAAAAUCUCCGUAUUUUGAUAUGUAAUUCCUAACUGCGGAUGAAUUCCUUACGCCUUCAACAUUGAGAUGGAAUAUUGGAUUUGAAUUGGGUGAUUUGAUAUCAAAGAACCUUGCAGAUUCAGUGCAAAAUUUACCUGUGAAUUGAAUCAGACAAUGUAGAUGAGAAAAUCCAUCUUGGUGGGUUUCAUGAGCAACUCGUAUGUAAAUGGGAGAAAUAGGGAAUUGGAUGUUCCUAAUUGCAUCUUAUCGUGCUCCAUUUUUUGAAUGAAAAAUAAAUAAUUACGGGUUUUAUAAAAAAUGAAUUUUGAUUUAAUUUUGAUUGAAAAUGAGUUUUUAAUUUUUAGAAAAUAAAUAAAGAAAAUGAGCCUAGAAUAGGACUAGAAAGUGCGACGAUUUUGACCCAAAUUAAAAUUUUAAAAAGUGUUUUUUAAAAAAAAAUAGGGAGUCGCCACUUGAUUUUGAGUUAAGGUGUACCAAGUCACCUAAAAUGAAUUUUUAAAGAAAAAGUAGAAAAAACCCUUUUAAAAUGAUUCCAAAUCUUUGAAAAUCAGAUAAAAGUAUUCGGGAGUCACGUUUGAAGAAAGAGAAGGUAAAGAUAAAAUCCAAUGUACCUUUUCAACCUAACCUAGAGCUAGUUGCGUGAUUUAGUAAAAAAAUUUCUUAUUUUAAUUUGAAAAUUUAUCACAUUUAGAUGUCACUAUAUGGAUGCAAAAGCUAAACCAAGGAGGAUAUCGGGGGAUCGGAAUAUCUCUUCAAAACUUAAUUGGUGUAAAUCACAUAAAUUGUGAUGCCCAAGUUGACUAUUUGAAGAGGUCACGAAUGUGCAAAAAUAUGAGACUCGAAGGAAAGAAAAGAAAAUAAUAAUUAUACAAAUAUACAUGAUCUAAAGGAAUGCAUCAUAACGGGUGCGGGGGGCUAAAAUUCGUGUUUUUAAUUUUUCCUUUAAUAGAGGGAAUACGAGCGUGCUAAAACUAGAGAAUCAUACUCGUCCAUGUCCCAUAUUCGAGGGGUAUUUCUCCUAUCUAAUCAACCAAAUGAUCUAACCAAGUUUUAAUUUUCUUAAAUGAAAUGCAAGUCUACAUGUCAUGUUUCACACAUAGGGGUAAGGAAUAUACAUAUAAAGAAAAUAUGGGAUAAGAGAUAUACAUAUAGUGGGAAUAUGGGAUAAGGGAUACACAUUUAGGGGGAAAUGUCAUGCAAAAUGAAAAAAUCCUAAAAAGUAGAAAAUAUGCAUGAAAAUGUAGUGAUUGUCACAUAAACAUGAUCUAGCGCGUGGAUAAUUCCUAAGGGUCUAGUGUUGGACUAACGCAUGUUUAUAAGUUCUCACUAGCAUUGGACGAAUGAGAAAUUGGAAAAAAGGGUCACAACUAACGUUAGACUAGUGUGGAAUCGAAAAAAGGGGCCACAACUGGCGUUAGACUAGUGUGGUGACAUCAUACAUUUAUUAUAAUCAAAUAAAUCAUAUAGAACAUAAUAAAAGCAAAUAAACACAUAUAUCACAUAUAGCACAUAACACAUAAGCAUAAUAUCUAGAUGCAAAUAUCCUAAAAAAGCAAGUAAACACAUAAACACACAAGUAUGCAAACACAUAAACAAAUAAAAGCGAAUAAAGAGCUAAUUAUUAUAUUUUGGGGACCCUAACUACAAUCUAAAAGGGGAAAGAAUGAAAUGAAAUAAAAUAAUAACCUAACUAUUAUAAUUUGGCAUUUAAAUGCCUUUCAAAUAAUCAAAAAUUAAAUAACAAAAUAAAUAUACAAAAUUAAAACAAAUAAAGUGAAUAAAUAAAUAAAUGAAAUGAAAUGAAAAGUAUUCAAAAAAACAUGUAAUUACACACAUAAAAUCACAUAAAAGUACAUAGGAUCAAGUAAAAUCAAAAUAAAGAGUAGAGUAUACCUCCCUUGAAUUGGUGACCUAAUGAAAUGAAAUUACUCUCUUUCUACCCUCCAACACAAAAAAAUGAUUAAGGUAUCAUUUUAAUUAACAAAUAAUCAUAAGAGAUGAAAAUAAACAUGAAAUUGAACAAUUAAAACAUUUAAAUGAAAGUAAAUAACCCAUAUUCAAGAAAUUAAAACAAGCAAGGACCUAAUUGAAACAAUUACGGAAGUUUAAGGGGUCAAUUUAUUAUUAUUACAAAUAUUAAGGGUCUAAAAAUAAAAAUGAAAUUAAGGGUUUAAGAUAAAGCCUACCAAAACCAAAUGCUAAAAUUUACAAAAAAUAAAUGAAAACCCAUUUGCUAUAAUUAAACAACAAAAUUACCCAAAAUUUCACUAAAAAUUCAAACCAAAACUAUAAAUUUAUCAAAAAUUAUUAAACCUUCAAAUUUCAUCCUAAAAUUCACCAAUAAUCUGUCCAAAAAUCACAUGAAAGCAUACCAAGGAAAAAUAACAUUUUAAAGGGACAAAAUUGAUUAAAUUUUUCAAUUUUCUGGGCCAUAGUGAAAUAAGGGAAAAUUUGAGAGGUUAAAAUGCAAAUUGUUUUUUAUUUGCAUGCAAGCUACGAAGAAGAUUUCUUCUUCUGAAGCUUUCUUGCAACUUCUGAAACCUUUCAACAACCUUAUGCGGCCAAACAACAAAAAAUUUAACAAUAACAAAGAUCCAACCUCCAAGUUCCCAUUAAGUUUCAUAGGCUCAUCAUCAAAAUACCAUGUUAUGCACACAAGAGAGAGGGAAAUCAGUAACGUGGGGAGAAGCUUGCAAAUUCCAGAUUUAUUCAAAGCUUUUCCACCAGUUUUUGGGUUCAUCUUUAGCAAGCUUCGCAUGAGUCGUCUAAACAAAGAAACUAACCAUAUCACGAACCCAAUCAAGCAUAACAUAACCCAACUCCAGAUCUACACAUGAUCCUAAUCAAAGCAAGACCAUGCAUCUUGUGCGGAAAUAAAGUGAAAGAAAAAGAAGAGAUAAAAGGAUAGGAAAAUCUGUUUCAUGGCUUUCAUGUGAGCAGCAGCCUCUUCUGAUUUCAUUGAACUUUUCAUCAAACUCUAAAUGACUAAUGCCAAACUAGAAAUCAUCAGAAAAAUAGGCAUGACAAAGCCAUUAAACAAACAUAUCAAACUAGCAGCUAAACUCAAGAACUCGUGUCCAAAUGGGCUUCAAUCUUUGUAACAAAGGUUAAAUCAACAAGGGAAGGAGUUUUGAUAUACAUGGGAAUGUUCUUACAGUCGAAUGGAUGUGAGGUUCUCCCAAGAAAUGCUUGUCAUUUACUGGAGCAAAGCCCAGAAAUUUUGCUACCGAAAUUUCAGCACUAAUGAAUCCGGAACUUGGGGCUUCGAUUUGGCCUUCUUAGAGUUGUUUUCCUUAAAUGUUUUCUGCACAAAAGUUAUUCCAAUGCGUCUCAAGAUGAUGCACGAGUGAAGAAACUCUCCUAAAAGCUAGAUAUUUAAUCGAAAAUCCCCUCUGAGCAUGGCUGCUUCGUCAGCUUGAUAAUGGGUUUUGCAGAAAGAUUUUCUGCACUUUCUGUUUUCUCUUUUGCCUCUCUUUUUCGUUCUUUUGUUUUGCUGUUUUCCUUCCUAACCUUCCCCAGAUUUCCCCCUUUCCUCCCUUUCUCUUCUUUUUUCCUUUUUCUUCUCCUCUCUUCCAUUUCUCCUUCGUUGCUGAAACCCUCUUUUCCCGAAGUCCCUUUUUCUUCCUUUCUUUCUUGUUUUCCUUGUCCCGUAGCUUUUUCUCUUUCGUUCUUCCUCUCUCAGUUUUUCUCGCUUUCUUCCUCUCAAUCUCCCCUUGUUGCCCGUAACCUUUUUCUCUCCUUGUACUGCCCCCAAAACCCUCUCUUUUUCUUCUCUUUUUUUCUUUCUUUCCCUGCCCCCAAGUUCUCUCAUUAGCCGAACCCUUCUAGCCUUUUCUUUUUUUUUGUUUUAUUUCAGAUUUUUCCUAAACUCUACACUUGUCCUAGCCAUAGCCUUAAGUGUUGAGAUGUGCAAAAAAUAAGAACACUUGUCUAAUGCCUACCCAUCCCACUUAGUUAGUUUGCAUGGCCUCCACCUAUUUUAUUUUAUUUUUGUUAUUUUUUGUUUUUUCAAAACAAGUUUAGGGUAACCAAAAACAUUAAACACAUUACUAAUUUUUAUUUUAUUUUGAAACACUUGAAUUUAAAAAAAUUAAAACAAAUUUUUGAGAGAAUUUUCUUUUUUCAGAAAUUUAAUGCAAAAAAUGUUUUAAAAAGAAAAAUGAUGAACCUAAUUUACUAAAAUAAAUAAAAAUAAACACUAACUUAUCAUUUUACAAACUUAGGUAAUUAAAAUAAAAUAAAAUAAAAACAAGAAUAAAUAAUAAUAGUAAAAAUAAAGCUAAAAUUGAAUUAAAUAAAAUUAAAAUUAUGGUGUCUACACAUCUAAUGCUUGUUCUUUGGUAAGAACACACCUGGGAUAAAUAAGUAAGAUGUUGCGUUGAUGAAGAAGGAAGAAGGUGAUCUGAGCACGUUGAAUCUCACCCCAACCUGAUGACGUCAACCACCCCAAUACAAAUUAUCCCUCGUAUUGGGUAGAAUGGGUUGGCUUAUAUAGCCCUUCCUGAGUGUCAUUUAAUAUUACUAAAAACGCUCGGGACGACACGUGGUGGGUGGAUAGGGUGUCCGGAUGGACGGUCCGGAUUUGAUCUCAGGAGGAGAGAUAAAGGACAACCCAGGACCUGGAUUGUAUAGCCCGCAGUACGGGCCCUCCCUGUCCCCCACGUUCCGAACGUGGGCCGCCGUACUCUUUGUCACGUGGCCGAAGACUACUAGCGGCUCGGAAGAGCACAGUCCCACCAAGGUGAACAUUGAUAUUGGGUUGAGUAGAGAAUAGUGCCCGGUGGCACUGUUGGAAUUCGAAUUUCGAAUUCGAAAUUGAAAUUUUGAAUAAUCCCGCCCACGUCGGGAUUGCCAACACGUAUCCCCGAUUUGGUGGUCGCGAUGCGCGACAUGUGGCAGAAGGAGAGAACGAUAAAUAUCGCUGUGAUGGAAGACUUUGAGCGUUCCUUGCUGGAUACGCCCUGUUCGAGGAGAUUGCUUGAUAUGGUGCGUUUUGAAAAUCAGAAGAAAUUGCAAACAUAAGAGACAUGGCAGGAUUCUUCGCGGUGGUGAGGGGCUGUGGCAUGGAGCACGUAGUGCUCUUCGGGAUGUACUUCGCCCUUCGUUUGAGGAGCCUUUCACAGUGCGAAAAGCGCACUGUCCCCCAUCUCGGCGCUUUAGCACCGAGUGUUAGAAAUUGUUCACUGUUCACAAAUUUGAAUUUCGAAUCAAAGUACGAAAAUUACUGUAACAUGCUUGGAGAUGAGGAAAUAUACAGUCGAAGGGGGGAAAAACUAUUACUGAUUGACAUAAAGGUGAAAUAGUGAAUAAACGUGAUAUAAAUUGCAAUGUAUACCAGACAGGUCGUCUCAAUUCAUCCAGUAUGAAGAAAUGGCUGGUCGAGGUACGAAGACAUAUGUUGGUCCUGGUACUCCUCUCAAACCCAUCACUCGAAGGCGGAGGCUGUUCAGCAACACUGGUGGCAUUUCGAGUGCGGGGCCAAGUUUCGGAAGAAGAGCAAGGUUUUUCCUGCAAGGCAGGAAGCGGCCUUUUGUACAAAGUGGGAUCAUAGAUGAGACAUUCGAUCCUGAUGAAGGCGUGGCUUGCAAGGCCGUAUGGUAUGAUUACAUGAAACUCUCGGAACUAGGCCAGGGACCAGGGCAUAGAUAUGAAAACAAAUGCGGGGUUUCUUCUAUUAACAUUGACGAAAAUAUGCUGAUUGGCAGUGAUACUGCCUUGAUGGAUGACGGGCAUGGGGCCCACUGCGGUGGGCCCAUUAACGGCAUAUUGGGCCUAUUUAUUGUUCUGGACCGUGAGCCUAGCGACCAGCAUAAGCCCACCUUCUAGGACGUUUUCAGUGAGGUGACGUGAACUCACGGAUCCAAAGUGGAUCUUCACGUUCGCAAUGACAUGCUGAGCCGUUUUCGCGUGCUGAUGAGGGAGAAGAUCAUCGUGAAGGGGUGUAACAAUGGUAGUAGGAUAUCCAUUGAUCGAUACAUUGCAUUAUUCGAAAAGAAUAAAUUCGUCACUAAGUUUAAGAAUUACGGAAACUUGACUGAUGGUCGUUACAGUAAUGUAAAGGAGAAUGCUCGAUGUUAUACAUAUUAUGGAAGAGCCUGUGCGGUUAUCCUGUGGCUGUGAAUAUUAAUAGUUGGAUGACGAAUAAUCAUUAAUAAAAUAUAAAUUAUCGUUGAAUUGAAUGUUAUCGUUAAAAUAUGCAAGGAAAUUGUUCAAUUGAGCGAUAAUAAAAAAAUAACUAAGUUAAUUGUGCAAUUAAUUUAUCACACGAUGAGAAAUCCCAUAUUACACUAGCAAGCGCAGUGGAACAUAAGAAAAAAUAAUUGGGCCGAAUAACGACCCAAUGGGCUGCUUAGAUGGGCGGCUUGGCCCCGAACUUGAAACUAGGCUGAGGCUGGGCCUUGGUGGUCGACAUAACUGUUGAUAUUGAUUGAGCCACAACAUGGCCCAACUGCUCCGCAGAAAUAUUGCAACCCAUUUAGGAUGCCGAUGGGCUUGGGUCAGAUCGUGGAUCUGACCCAUCAUCAAGAUGGCUCAAUCCAAUAUCGGACAUUGAAUUUCGGACCUGAGCCAACAACGUCCCCGGUCUGAAUAAAAGUUAAUUGGUGAUAGGUCUGACUAAUGCGGAUAUGGAUCGACAAAAUGCAAGCUGCUUGAGAGCAUAGUUGCAGUGCCACAUGUCAACGUUUUCCUCGGUGAACUGAUCAGAGAAUAUCUGCACUCUCAGUGAUCGGAACUGGACCGUAUCUGGUACUUUAGCAUUGGCCAACUUCAUGUGUGCCUUUAUCUUGCAGAAAUUGAUUCAAGUCUUGAUGUUGGAAUCUUCGAGCUUGUAGUUUGCUACCCACGAACACUUGUCAUCGUUCAAUGAUGAAUACGAAGUGCCGUAAUAAUGGAGGAUGAUCGGACAGGUGACCGGAAAGACGUAUUCAGCCUGCAACUGAUCUUGCCCUUCGACUCUUGUGUCGAAGAUGAGCACCCGCACCUUGCCGAUGCUGUUAAUCGCAAUCUGGGGAGUAUAUCAGAUUUCGUAGUGAUCGAUUAGCAUGGAGAGUCUGCGCACCCUUUGGAGAAUUGUCGAUGAGAAUGCGGGGAACGGGAUUCUUAUAGUCUGAGCAUCUGAUAAUGCGCAUGCUUCGGUGAACUUUGAUUUGUAGUAACCGGCUAUGGGCUGAUCUGCUCAUAUCUCCAUUGAAAUGCUCACGUGUUCCUGCACUUGAUGAAAACGGAAUGAUGAGGGAGGAAGUGUUUGUGUUAGAUUGAUGAAACAGUGUCCCUUAUAUAGAACGAUGUCGUGUUGGGACUGUUGAUGAGCCAACGUAAAUGACAUCACCUAACCUAAUAGAAUGAUGUCACUCCAUCCAUUAAGGGGGUCCACUCAACCCAGUCUACCCAAUACAACAGAUACUUUAGAAUAGGUUGGGUGACGUCAUUCUAUUGGGUUGGGUGACGUCAUUUGGGUAGAGCUGGUAACUGUGUAUCAUCGUUUUCCUUCCACUCAAUCCACUGUUUUUCACCAAAAAAUACAAAACCCUUACUUUCCAAUCAUCUCAUCUUCAUCAAAACCAAAAGUACGAUCAAUAUUCAAUGAAAAUAUCAAGAUCUUUCAAAUUUCGAGUGAAUUUAUACAUACGAUGCAAGAAUUGUUCCUCAAAGGUGUUUCACAUUCUCAAUAUUCUAUGUAAUAGAGUAUCAAUCACAAUUGAUAAUUUAUCUGAUAGAAUGAAUGUUCUAUCAGAGAAUGACUCAUCAGAGGACAAUCGUAUCAAUUCUAGAUCCUUCGGACCUUAAGGUCCGAGAAGCUCUCAUUUGACAAAUUAAAGAACCUGUGUGCCGCUGCGCUUGUCGGGGAAGAUAAGUGAAUAGAAUUAGGAUUAUCAAUGUGUGGGCCACUUAUACUGAGGCCCAACAUAUUCAUCAUUUCUUGAUCAGAUGGGUCGAUCAAGUGUUAAUUGAGCCUCACAUCAGGCCCAAGUCGUUUUAAUCGAAAAUGUUAUCAACUUAUUGAUCCACUGGGCCAUUUAAUUUGUUACUGGGCCUCGUACCAGGCCCAGUAAAUAAUCUCCGAAUGUAUUAUCAGAUGUUUGAUUCAAUAGGUCAAUUCGAUCAACAGUUUGAGCAUCUGGUACUUAAGUGGUGGCCAACUUCAUGUGUGCCUUUGUCUUGCAGAAAUUGUUUCCAGUCUUGAUGUUGGAAUCUUCGAGCUUGUACUUUGCUACCCACGGACACUUGUCAUCGUUCAAUGAUGAAUACGAAGUGACGUAAUAAUGGAGGAUGGUCGGAUAGGUGACCGGAAAGACGUAUUCGGCCUGCAAUUGAUCUUGCCCUUCGACUCUUGUGUCGAAAAUGAGCACCCGCACCUUGCCGCCGGUGCUGUUAAUCAAAAUCUGGGGAGUAUAUUGAAGUUUACAGUGAUCGAUUAGCAUGGAGAGCCUGCGUACCCUUUGGAGAAUCGUCGAUGAGAAUGCAGGGAACGAGAUUCUUAUAGUCUGAGCAUAUGAUGAUGCGUGUGUUUUGGUGACCUUUGAUUUGUAGUAACUGGCUAUGGACUGAUCUGCUGGUAUCUCCAUUAAAAUGCUCACGUGUUCCUGCACUUGAUGAAGACGGGAUGAUGAGGAAUGAAGUGUUUGUGUUAGAUUGAUGAAACGGUGUCGCUUAUAUAGAACGAUGUCGUGUUGGGAUUGUUGAUGAGCCAACCUAAAUGACGUCACCCAACCCAAUAGAAUGACGUCACUCCACCCAUUAAAAAGUCUUUAUUGUAUUGGGUAGAUUGGGUUGAGUACACGUGACAGAUCGGACGGUCCGAGUGUCUUAUAAUAUUACAAAGACGCUAGGGGGGACACGUGGACGGUGGAUAGAGGGUCCACGUCAUCAUCCAAUGGAAGAAUGGACGGUUGAGAUCUACUCAACCCAAUACAAUGAACGGCUAUGAUAAGGUGCAUCAAUAGACGGUUGAGGUCGUAUUCAUUUUGGCCCCCAACUUUUGCAUAAUUCUACUGUGGCCCCAAAACUUCUGCAAAUGAACCAUUUUGAUCUCUUUCAAGUUUAAAAUCAUCUUUUUUAUAUUUUAAGUGGUCCUUUGGGUAGAUUAAUUCUGGAUUUUAGGAAAUAAUUAGGGUUAAAUGUCUUUUAGUUGAUUUUAUCUUGUUGGGUUUUGUAAGAAAGUUUAGUUUUUGGGUUGUGGUUUGUUUGUUAGGGUUUUGAUAGAAAAGCUUGGUUUAUUUGAUUGGAUUAUGGCUUGGGUUUGGGGGUUGAAGUCCAUGCAUUGUGAUUGGGACUGUUUGAUAAAAUUUAUGGGCUAGCCCGUCUCAUUUCACUUGGGCCUUUCAUUGGGCCAAGUGGCUUUUAGCCCAAGAAGAAGAAAAAUGGUCCAAGUCCAGACAUCUCAUGACGAAAUUUGUACUAUGCCCCUGCACUUUUAAGUAACUCCACUAUGGCCUUAAAAACUUUUGAUUUCUUUCAAUUAGGUUCCUAAUAUAAUUGUAAUUUGAUCCCUGAACUUUAUUUUUCUUUAAUUUUGACUCCUAAUCUUUGUAAUAAUUAUGAUUUGACCUCAAAAACUUUUUCAAUUUUUACAAUUAGGUCCCUCAUAGUUUUGAUUUCUUAAAUACAAGUUGCUUUCUUCUUUAAUUAUUAAUUAUACUUCAUUUAAGUGAUUUAAUUGGUAGAUUCCAUGAUUAUUUCCAUUUCUUUAUAAUUAAAUUAGUUCCUUGAUCAUUUUGUUGAUUUUGGAACAUAAGCAGAGCAAAUAUCACCCCAUUCAAUCACAACUUAAAGGGAGGUAACCUCUUUUAUCAUUUUAAAUUCUUUUAUGCGUUCCAAUAUGUUUUUAUAUGUAAUUGCAUGUUUAGAGUGUUUUUUCUUUUAAUUAUUCAUUUUACUCAUUUUAAGUUUCAUUUAUUUUAUUUAAUUUUUUAUGAUUAUUUGAGAGGCAUUAAAAUGCCAAAUUGUAAUAGAUAAGUGCUCAAAACAUGUAUUUAGCUAGUUUAUGUAAUAGAUAUGUUUAAAUUUUUGCUAAACAUGUAUUUAGUUAGAUAAAUGUUAUAGAUUGUAAUUAGGGCCCCGAAUAUAAUAGUUAGAUUUUAUUUGCUUGUGUAUUUACAUGCUUGCAUGUUUACGUGUUUAUUCGCUUUUAUUAGGGUUUUGCAUUUAGAUAUUAUACUUAUAUGUUAUGUGCACUAUGUGCUUUAUGUGUUUACCUUCUUUAAUUAUGUUUAUAUGAUUUAUUUAGUUAUAUUAAAUGCAUGACGUCACCAUGCUAGUCCAACGCUAGUUGUGACAUUUCCCCCCGAUUUCUCACUAGUCCAACGCUAGUGAAGACUUGUAAAAAUGGAAUAGUCCAAUGCUAGACCCUUUAGGCCAUUUUUCGCGCUAGAUUCACAUUUUUUGUGUGACAUUCAUCGCAUUUCAUACAUAUUUUACAUCUUUAGGAUAUUUUCUCAUCUUGUAUGAUAUUUUCUCUAUAUAUUAUCUCCCCUAUCCUUAAGUGCGCAAAACACGACAUUUAGACUCGCAUUCUAUUUAGGAAAAAUAGAAGUAGGUUCGUUCAUUGCUUGAUUAAGUUAAGAGAGUUACCCUUCAAAUAUGAAAAAUGGACGAGUAUGGCUUUUUAGGUUUAGUACGUUCGUAUCUCCUCUAUAAAAAGGAAAAAUUGAGUCACGAAUCUUAGCCCCCGUCCCGUUAUGGUGUAUUCCUUUCUUUUAGCUCAUGUAUAUUUAUAUAUUAUAAUUCUUUUUUUCUUUGAGUCUCAUUUUACAUAUUUGUGACAUCUUCUAAGAAUUAUUUUUGGACAUCACAAUUAAUGUGAUUAGCACCAAUUAAACUCUGAAGAAAUAUUUCGACUCUCCCGAUAUCCAUUAGGUCUAGAUUUGCAUCCAUAUAGUAACAUCCAAAUAUGAUAAGUUUUAUAGGUUAGAUAAAGAAAAUUUUCAACUAAAUCUCGCAACUAGUCUUAGUUAGAUUGAAAGGGUGCCUUAGGUUUGAUUAUAUCAAAUCUUUGUCUUUCCUUUUUUCAACUGUGACUCCCGAACUCUUUUCUCUUGUUUUCAAAGACCUGAAGUCGUCUAAAAAGGGUUUUACCUAUUUUUAUUAUUUAUUAUUAUUAAUAAAUUUUUAGGUGAUUUGGUACACCUUAACUUAAUACCAAGUGGUGACUCUUAUUUUUUUCUAAAACCCUUUUUAGACUAUUAUUUGGGCCCAAAUCGUCGCACUUUUUAAGUCCCAUUUUAGGCCAUUUUCUUUUGUUUAUUCUCUAAAAUAAAAACUCUUUUUCUAAAUCAAAAAUUCAUUUUUCUAACACCUUAAAUACUCUUAGAUUUAUUUCAUUUUUUUUCCAAAAAAAUGGGGCGCGACAACUAGGAUACAGUCUCACGCAAGGUGCAUGACUAGAGUUAGUGACAGGGUUGGUUUAGGGUGGGAGAGCCCUUUCUCGCCUUCGCCCAUCACCAAAAAGCUCUUCUCAUCCCCUACCACAUCCCCGAUAUCUUUAACUUCGCCUCAUCUUUCACCCUCCACCCCAUCUCAUUACUAUUUUCAUUUCCAUGUGAUUUUCUUUUUAUAUAUUUAUAACACUAAUAAUAGAUUUACUAAUCAUUUUUUUUAUUUUUUAGCAAAAAUUUAACAUGAGAUAAAGUUUAAAAUUUAAUUUGACCUUGUGAAUCCAUUUCUCUAUAUUUAAUAUUACAUAAAUUCUAAAUCAAUUAUCAUUAUUAUUUUAUAAACAACAUGCCGUAACAAAAAAAUGUAAACUAACAUAAGAAAAAUUUUACCACAAAAAAUUAUAUUAUAUUAUCACUCGAAAAAAAUCACAUUAUUCAAUACAUAUAUAUAUAAUCAGGAUAACUUUUUUAUACACUGUCAGUGUAUUUUUUUUUACACUAACAGGUUAGAUUAUUCCACAUAACAUAAAUUCAACAUUUAAAUUUAAAUCAUGCCUAUAUGGCAUACAUUCAAAACUGCUAGUGUAAAAAAUUCACUACACUAUCAGUGCAUAAAAAGUUAAUUCAUAUAAUUAUAUUAUAUUAUGCAUAUUAUAUUAUAUAUAUAAUAUGGGUUGGGGAUUGGACGGGGGUAUCUUUCCCUGCCUUUUGCCGAGUUUAAUACGGGAGGAGAAAAUCUCCCCCACUCGCAUUUUUCCUUGCCUUAUUGAACCCUUGUGGGUAUUUUGCCCUUAUUGCCAUCCCUCAGAACGAAUAGGGAGUUCAUGAUGUAUUUCUAACUCAAUAAUAGGUUCAAACAUUAGCCAAUAAUUUAGCUCAUACCAUAUUUACAAAGGGCUAAUUAUACUAUGCUCCCUUAAACUUGGCUCUAGUUACACUUUGUCCCCCUAAACUUCAAAUAUAUAUAUAUAUAUAUAUAUUUUCUCCUUAUAGUGAACUUCUUGACGGGGUUUGUGAGAACCUAGAAAUUUGCUAAUUUAUCUAGUUUAACUACAUGAUACUUUAUUUAUUAAGUUAUCUAUUUGGUUAUUUAUUGAUUUGAUGAUGAUUUUUUCUUAAUACUUUUAUUAAAUUUUACAUGUGAAAGUUAAUGUGUGGGGUAAAAUGAAAAUUUCCUUUGUAGUAGGGUGUAAAAAUGAACUUUUGGAAAAAAAAUGAGGACUUUAGUGCAAUAAGAGAGAGAAUUGGGACACUUGGAGUUAGAGAGCUCUAGAAGGUAACAAGUGUUGGAACACUUGGAGCUAAAGAACUUUAGAAGAUGACAAGUGUCACCAUAGGAACCAAGUGAGACCUUUGACCAAGCUUUCUUAUCAUUUAAUCUUUCCUUUCUUGCCUUAAAAAUAAUAAUAAUAAAACAACCAAAAUCAAGAGGAAAGGAGAGAGAGAGGGCCGAGAGCUAGAAAAAGAAAAGAAAAGAAAAACUCAACUUUCUUCCUCCAUUUUUGCUUCAAAUCUUCCCCAACUUUGGUUAAUUCUUGGAAUCUUGCUUGGGUUUGAAAGAAAGUCUUGCUUGGGGGCAACUCUUGGAGGAAACUUGGACUUGUUGCUUGGUUCAAAUUGCUAGGAGAGGUAUUGGCUUGAAAUCCUCUUUUUCCUUCAAGUUUCGAGUAGAUUUGUAGCUAGAAAAAUUGAAUCUUUGAUGGGUUUCCUUGAAACCUUGAUUUAGGUAGAUGAUUUGAGGAAAAUUCCUUAUAUUUUCAUGGCAAGCUAGGUAGAUGACUUUGUGAGGACUCGUAAAAGUAUUAUUUUCGACUCCUAUCUUUGCUCAUUUAAAUAUUUAUUCAAAUAUUUGCUUCGAUUAUUAUUUUCUAGCCUUAUUAGACUUAAAUACAUGGAGUUAUGACUUCAUUAUAUUUUUAAAGUGACUCAUUUCAAAAAUUAAUUUUUGGGAAGCUCGAUUAAUGAAAAUAGUGAAAACGUGUCUGAAAACUUUAGCCAUUUGGGAGUACAAUAAGUUCAAAACUUGGAGACAUGUACAAUGGUCCUAAAAUAGGUAAUUAUAGGUUUAAGUACUCAAGUGAUAGUUAGUAGUACGAUCGUUACAAGAAUUUCUCGAAGGUUUCACUCUAUCGCGCCUAAAUUGGAAAUACGCGUUUUCACGCGCGCGAUUAAUUGAGGGACUUUAGAUCCUUAAUUUGGGAUAACUAGGAGUGAAUAAUAUUUAUAUGAAUAUAAGUGCAUUAAAGGUUUAGUGCACUAGUGCAACAAACUUAAGAGGAAUCGCGCCCAAAACGCGCGCGUACGCGCACUAUUUGCGUUUGACUUUUUUCGUACCCAAGCUCUUAGCCCUCAAGCUUCCUUAGCAAGCUAAAAUCAGAUCAAAACAUCUCUCUUUUCCCUCUCAUUCUGGCUGAGCAACAGCUGAAGCAAAACACCUUCAAGUUUUGCAAAUUUCACCUCCAAAUCUUGCUCAAACCUUCAUAGAUUCACACCAAACUUCACAUACACUUAGCUCUACACUUGGACACCACUUUGAGCUGCAAAAGGGAGCUAAAACUCACUGUUUUUCUGGAGCAAAAAGGACCGAAAAUCACUGCCUUGGACAUCAACUAGAGUAAGUAAUGAUCAAGCUUUCAAAUUUCGAUUUUUGGAAGUUCUAGUAUACCUUUAAGCUCUUAGUUUCAUAUGGGUUGUUGUUGUUGUCGGAAAAAUUGGAAGGUGGGCUCUAUGAACUCCCACCUCUGUGUUGAUGGCUGAUUUCAUGCUUGAUGAUGUUUAUAAUGUUGGAUUAGUGCAUAAACUAGUGGAUUAUUGGUGGAAAAUUGAUGGAAACUCAUGAUGGGUGCAAAGGCCAAAUCUGACCAUUUUGCCCCUGCUUUGUUCGGCCACUUUAAUGCAAAAAUUUGAGGAUUUAAUGGCUUGAUUGUAUUGUUUACAUGUUGUAGUAGUUGUAUAAAAAUUUUCAUUGUAAAAUAUUGAGUUUUGGUUGGUCAAAUGAAUUUAUUUCCCAAAGCUAGUAAUCCGGAAACUGUUCCCGUAAUGUUCAGACCAGUGUUCGUAUUUCGUCCAUAACUCUGUGCUCCGAUGUCAAAAUCAAGUGUCGUCAGUGGCAUUUGAAACUAGAUAUUUCCACCUUUCCAACGGUAUAAAAUACACUUUCUGGUUCCAUGUGUGUGAGCCGCACCACUCUUUUGAACUCAGCUGUUCUGUUUCUCUGUUCUGCUGGAAUGAAAUACAGAAGCUGUGAUUUGAAACUCGAUUUCGAGCUAGUUGUGUACUGAAUUUUAAAAUGAUUUCUUCUGAGAAAUUAUAGCCCUAUGAAUGUAUUUUCCAACACUAUCAACCAUGCUCAAUUCCGAGUUAAAUUGAGUGAGUCAUGAUCAAAAUACGGUGACUGCCCUGUUCUUGAAAACCCUUGGAUUUGGACAGAUUUGAUGUGAGACUUGUUGUGGUCUUACUAAAUGAAUUUCUUGGUACUAAACACCUACCAAAUGUACCAUGUAUAUUCCUUAGACUUUUCUUGCACAAAUGAACCAUGUUUGGAGGUUUUCCUUAGCCGAAUGUUUGGAAACGGAGAGGAAUGGAGCUAAAGGCAGUUUUACCUUAGUAAUUUCAAAACUUUGGUUGAUUGAUUAACCACCUUCCGGAAGGUAUUUUUCCACGAAAUUUGAUAGAGAGAUACCCUUCAUAUAGGAGUACUAUACUGAAAAAUUUGGCACCAAUCCAAGUCCGUUUCGACACUUAACUAAAGGUCCAAAGUCAGAAACCCAAAUCUGGAAAUUGUUCGACAGUCUUGAAUUUUCCCCAACUUUGAACUACCAUAUAUUGGUGCUUGAAACUCCGAUUCUCGAUCCGCUUGUUCUGUCCUAAACCUUACUUGUACGUCUAAUUGUGUUAUAAAUUUUAAUGGUUGGUUUGCAACGAGUGAAUUCUGCCGAAUUUCCAAAGUUAGCGAAAAACUAACCCCAGCUCAAUCCUGAACAUUCUGGAACAGUGAUUUCAAGCUCAUUUUUGAGUACUUUUCACUUUGAUUCGUGGAAAAGUGUCUUCUAAGAACUUUUAGUACUUUCCAAGAGGUUUCCAACGGUAUAAAUUUUUCCAAUUUUAGACUUGUAUCGAAUGAGAUACGAUUUUUCAAAAAUCCAUAUCAAAAAUGAAAUUUUCCAACUUACAAGGAAAUAGAAUUUUCCAAGAACUCUUUAUUCUUUCGACAUUAUGCAAACGUUUUAACCUCGAUUUCCAAGAUAAAAACCCAAAUGCUCCUGUACUUUAUGAAACGCCACCCGAACCUCGAUUUACAAGUAAUUAAGGUUCCUUUUCACAAAAUUCCCUUGAUUACAAUAGGGCACGAAUUAUUUCUCGAUAAUAGGGCACGAAUUAUUUCUCGAUAAUUGGGUUGGGUGAAUAAUAAUUCACUAUUAUUUGCUCAGGCGCACACGAGGACCUUCAAGAGGAUCCCACGGUGGACGCUUGAACUUUCCUUGACCCUACUUGCACUUAAUACUUGGUGAGUGUCAAGUGUAUGAGUACUUAAUACGUGCUUAACUGUUGUGAAUGAUUACUGAUUUUAGGAAUGGAGAUGAGUGUGUACUUUAUCUCACUCGUUUUCAUUUGAAUAAAUAAUAUUGAAUGAUAUUGAAUGAGAUUGAAUGCAAUGGUUGCGUACGUCGCUGGAGUGAAUUUCCUCGACACACAAUUGUAAAUGGGGGACGCCCAAACUCAUAGGCUGACCUGGGACUCGAGCCGGCAUGGGUUUGGUCGGGAACCUAGGCGUGCCAUGAGACAAAUAAGCUCGACCUAUUGAGAGGUCUUACUUGGCAUACUCGUGGAGUAUUGCCUCAUACAUGUCUUGCGGGCCCGAGUGGGUGUUGGGUGGACGGAAAGAAGUAAGUGGUGAUCUACGGAUUGGAAAUACCGACCCAGUUGACGGAGUGUCAUCGGGGGAAGGUAUACGAGUGACAUCGGCAAAGCGAGUGGAACUUAGCUCCUGAGAACUACUAUAUCCUUGAAUUGUUUCUGAUAAAUUUCCUUUGGUGAAUUGUCAAUUAUUGAAAUAUAUUAUUGUUUAGCUCGUAAUUGAGAUUGUUAUUUGAACUACGUGCUUGCAUGUGUGUUCUUGGCCUCACGAGCGUUUUGCUCACCCUAUAGAUUUGUUUUCCUUAACAGGAUUGAAUCUCGGGGAAGUGUGGAGAAACCCUCCUGAUGUACUUUUGUUUUAGGGUUUCUAUUAUAUUUUGGCUAUGCCCUUGGUUUUGGAUUGUACUUUUGGAAUUGAAAUGUAAUUUUUGGGGCGUAAUGUAUAUUUGGGAUUCAUGAUGUAUUUUGAAUACCCGACGUGCGGGUUGGAUAAUGGAUGACUAUUGAUAAGCUUGAACGCUUCCGCAUUUACUGUACUUAAGUUACUUACUUUUGUUGUGUAGUUCGAUAAUUAGCUUGAAUGAUUUGGCUUGAGUCUUGGCGAGAGCUAGGCAGGCGUCCCGCGGAUACCCUUUGGUUCGCCUUAGGGAGAAGUGGGGCGUCACAGACUUGAGGUUCAUUCUUGUGCUUUUAUGAUGAAUGUUUAUUGUAGAUUUUGGUGUUUUAAAGUUUGAUGUUGUGGCUUGUGUGUAUAUUUCUUGGAAAGCUUGAAUCUUGGUUGGAUUUUGUUGCAAAUUUUGGUGAAAAAAAUUCUGUUUUGAAAGCUUUUUGAUGGUUGAAACUUUUGACUGCUAUUAGCCCUUAUUUUCAAGAAAUUUUGGGGGAAAUCUUGCUCCACAAACUAUGUUGGACAUUAAACUUUGAUUGUGAGUUGGAUUUGAACCAAAAUCAUGAGUCUUAGUGGGAAGGUUGAGUCAAGUGUUGCUGAAAAUUUUGUUCAGCAGGAGACUCUGAAUAGUUUUGGAAAAUCCGUUAUAUUUUCGUGUAGAAAAAUCCAAAUUAGAUUCCGCUUGUUGCGUUUGAAACUAGAUUCAGAGUGAAUUCUACGAUGAAAAUUUCAGAAUUUUUCUCAAUUCCUAUGAAUAUCUAUGAUUUUUCAAAAUUGACUAAAUUUUCACACCUGCUCUAUUUUUCUACUUGAUGAAGCAGCAACUUGAGACUAGAAUUUGACUGAUUUAUGGAUAGAAUCUUACAAAUAUGUAUUCUGGAAAAUUAUAGUCCUUUGAGUCGAUUUUCCAAUAGUAUAAAUUUUAUAAAUUUUAAACUUAAGAAGCUUGCGAUACGAUUUUUCAAACAGCGUCGCGCAAAACUGGAGAAAAUUUUGUUUUCUAAACUUGUUCUUGCUUCCAUUUUCAACUUUAAGUUAGAGUUGUUAAACCAUUUUAAGUUUGGUUUUUAUGAGUGGAAUUGAGGUUUAAAUGAAAGGAAAUGAGUUUCUUCAAAUCAUUUUAAGUCGGAUAAUUUCCAACUUUGUAUUUUGAAAGUCUUGUUCUAAUUUCUUCAAACGUUUGACUAUAAUCGAUGCUCUUGUGCUCCAAAUGAUUUUUGCAACGUUGAUUUAGUAAGCACAUGAGGUUUUCUCCUCGAUUGCAACAAGAAAAUAUUAUAUUUUGAUAGGUUAUAUGGGUAUAAAACUUAUAAAUUGAUGCAUUUUCUAAAUGAAGUUUUGAAAUCUCAAUUUCUUCAUGUAUUUUGACUUUGUAUUGCUAGUUUUUUAAUAUAGUAUGUGACCAUAGGACUUAAGAGAGUUCAGGAGGACGAAUCAGGAUUAAAGUGAAGGGUUGCAAUUGAUUGGUGAGUGUUCCAAUGCAUGUUAUUUGAUUAUGCAUGACUUGUGAAAAUGCUAUUAUUUGCUUAAGAGCUCUCCUUUGAAUGACAUGCGAAUAAGUAAAUGACUAUUAUGAUUUUCUUGUCUUGUUAAUUUGCUAUAAGCGCAUGUUCACAUUGCAUGGAUGCGUGAUAAAUGUGCAAGAAUGUAGGCCGAUGUGUACUUUAUCGCAUCAGCUGAACUAAGCUUAAUCCUAUGCUGGCAUCCUAUACGAGACUCGCCAUUUGUGAGGUCGAAUCAGCUGGACAGCUUUGGGUUCAUAACUUACCAAUGUUAAGUGCAAAACUCAAAACUCUUUGCCGAAAAGCCUUGAGUACAAUGUUAAAUGUUUAAUGUUAAAUGAGGGGAUUGUUGAUUUUUCGGAGGGCAUAAGGUGAAUGUUAAAUGAGGGGAUUGUUGAUCUUUCGGAGGACAUAAGAUGGGAGUUCGGAGGUUAUAAGGUUGUAAAAUGUAGGGGAUUGUUUAUUGGCAGUUAUAAGGUGAAUGUUGCUUCCUGUGAGCCCCGUAUCCUUUUAAUGUUUAAAUUACUAUUUAUCCUUGUAUUUACUUGAACGAAUGAUUGAAUGCAUGCAUGAAUGUUAUUGUUUAUCAAGUAUUUUACAUUGAAAGAUUCCUAUUACAAUUAAUUACUUCACUACCAGUUUCUAAAGUUGAGUAUUGAUUUACUUGAACCUAUUACUUGGGAAAACAUGCUUACAUGUUAAAUUGUGUUAUUCUCUUAUUUUGCCUGUUUACCUGCAAUGCUCACUGGGCGUAAGCUCAUCCCACGUUUUGUUUUUCUUGACAGGAUUCGGAUCCGAGAGUGCUUAAGAAUACUAUUGAAAUGUUUUGGGAGACUUUAAGUUUUCAUUUUAGUAGAAAUGACAAUAGUGUAUAUAUUUUUGGGUUGUAAUUAAGAUAGACGCUGAAAGAUGAAUCUUUUGUACGUGAACCUAUGUAUUAGCUCUUGGAUGUAUGUAAAUGUUAUUUUGGGGUGUAAUGAAUAUUAUUUUGGUUAGUUUAGAAAUUUCAAAUAAUUCUUGCUGUGGAUUGUAGUGAGUCCUGGUGAGAGUUUGGCAGGCUGUCUGCUGAACCCUCUGGUUCACCUGAGGGGAAGAUGGAGCUGUCACAGGGUUAAGAUGAUAUUAUAUUUUGCAUCACCAGAAUACCCAGAGCUAAUUCUUGAUACAAUAAUUGUAGCCUAAUAAAUGACUAUUGUUUCAACAAUUGCUAAAUUUAUUUGAGCACGACAAUACCAUGUAUUCGAUCUUUUAGCAAUAAAAAAAAAGCUAGAAUAUCUACAAAAAAUGUCUAAACAACUCAAAGCGUUCAUCUCAACAUUAAUAGUGCUUAUUUAGAUGAAGUAAAAUUAAUGAUUGCAUUUGGAAUGAAGAUUAUUUGAGGAUUUUUUUUAUUUGAAUGCUUUUCUUCAUGUGAUUAUUGUGGAAUGAAAUGGUGAUUGGAAAAAAUAAAAAUAUAGUGAAAAACGCAUUUAAACAAUCUCAAAUUUUUUACCGAAUAAUGUAGAACCUAAACAAAAUAUAAAGCGAGGUAUAAAUGUGGCAUAAAAACACCAAUUCAUAUCUUAUUAACUCAUAAGAAUACUGUGAGAAUGUAAGGUAACCAAAGAUUAUCAAAGCCAAUUCAUUCAUAGUUUAAAGGAAGAAAGAGAAGCAACAGAAAACUACUAUAAAAGUUUUGGGGAUUUCUCUAAAAUUCGUUAACUCUGCAACACAAAAUUGUACUUGUUAACUAUUUGAUAUUUCGCCAUUUCUUUUUUCUUUUUUAUAUCAUGGGAUUCAAUGUUUUUUUCGAAUAAAGUGCUCUACAUUUCAACUUUACGUACAACAUCAUCCAACAACCACUAUGUAUGGACAUUAAUGUUAUUUUAUUAAAAAUUUGGAUAGAAAGUUCAUUAUUAACGUUUCACUAGUCGAUGUAGGGAGCCAAAUAAAUAUAUUUGAAGUUAAAAAGGCAAAGCAUUCAAAGGAGUCAAGUUUAGGGGGUAAACUCCAAUUAACUCUAUUUACAAUUAAUAGGCUUAGUAAUGGCUGCAUUUGUAAGAUAGGCCGAGAAGAUCAUAGAAUGAGAAAUGAAUUAAAAGAUGUUGGGUGAGGUCCUAAAAUUUUUUUGGAAGGCACUGCAACCCUGAAUCUCACUUGUAAAAAGUAGCUUAAAUCAGUGUACUUAUAGGUUUGUUUGUGACAGGUAGUAAGUACAUGUGAUGGUUCAUAUGACUGAUUGUUUGUAGGCAUUAUAUAUUGCUCAAAUUAAUAUACAAAUGGCUAAACCACAAAAAAUUUUCCUUGGUCAAAACAAUUUUAUACUUAAAGAUAAGAAAUCUCCAUAAUCCUUACAACUGAGAAGUCCACUUGCAUAUUUGAAGACAAGAACUUAAUUACAAUCACGAGCUUAAUUACGGUAAUUUAUCAAAGAAAUGAAAAGGCAUAUAAAGAUAAGAAAAAGGCAAUAAAACAAAUACUGCAUCUUGGCUUUUUUUCCUUUUUUGUAAGCAUUUUUGCCCUGACCUGGUUGGUGCUUUUGUAAUUUUUUGGGCUAUUUAUUUUUGUUUUCCGUGAUUUUAUGACUUGGGAAAGUGGUAAAAAAUUUGAAUUGACGACUUUGCCUACUUAAAUUGGUCAGUAAAAUGUUGAAGGAUCAAAUUGGCCCAGUAACAUCAGUUAAGGGACGACAUUAUUUCGAAUUAUAGUGGAGAGACCAAAUUGGCCUAAUAAUAAAAGUUAAGGGACUAUAAAAUUAAAGUUGGAGAACCAAAUAUGGUUUAGUAAAAAUUUUGGAAGAUUGUUCAGGUCAUUUGCCCAAAAAUAUUUCUCUUCUUAUUAAUACCCAAAGAAAUAAUUUAUCUAUUUAUUGAUAAACAAACCAAGUGCAAUGCAUAUGCUCCCAAACUAGUAAAACAAGUAUAUAUAAAAAAAAAAGUACACAAAGAUAGAGGCAAAUAUUUAUUGCCGAACAAAAUUUUGAAAAGCACUUUGAUUUAGGUGCUAGUAUAAGCAUGUUCACUUCCAAGUCUUCAGCACAUUGCCCUUUGAUCAUGGGAUUUGCAGAAAGGAGGAAAUCAAAUAAAGUUAUAGCAAAUUUUGGAAAUGUUGAUUUGCGAAGUCCAUCAUCUCUUUAAAAAGGAAAAUAAUGGAGUAUACCCAAAAAAUAUAAAAUGAAAAAAUUGAAUAAUGGAGCAGAUGGGGAUGCAGCUGAGUUGAGAACUUUUGAUAGGUGGAGACUUGUUUUUCCGCUGUCAAAACGAUAACUAGGUCCCUAAAAGUCUUCGGUUUUCAUUGUUGCACUAACUCCGUCCCCCCUCUUUUGUGCCAACUUGCCAACUUGUAUGAACUUUGGGAGUUUUACUUGUUACACAUAUUUUGACAUUUUUUAAAGUAUAAAAUUCUUAUAUAAUGUAAUUCUUGGUGAAAACUUUACUAUGAUUUAGCUACAUAUUUUUGAAAAAACUGAAUAAAUUCAAAUAAAUUGUUUAGUACAAAUUAUAUUAGUUUGAUCAGAAUAUGCGACAAAUGUGUACUAGAGAGACAGAAUAGAUGGAACAAAUAUCUAUUAGCACACACCUCCAUAGCUAUAUCAAACUCAGAGCCAGAAGCAGGAAGAAAGCUACAUGUGUUUUCCGAAGAUGUCUCUUUUAUUACUAAUGUUUCUCUCUUUUUUGGCUGUUCUGGGGGGAAGUUGGUUGAAGAUAUUACUAACAAUUGUUGAGGGCACAAUACACAAGAGAAAUAAAGAAUCAAAGAGACCUGAGUAAUAAAUAUAAAUAUCAAUUCUUUUAUUACUAACAAUUGUUGAGUGCACAGUACACAAGAAAAUCAAAGAAACACCCGAGUAAUAAAUAUAAAUAUCAAUCUCACAAGAAGGCCAUGCAUCCUCUAUACAAGUAAUAAAUUAUAAUGAACAACACUAAAACCCCCUCCAUUCUCACUGACUAAUCUCACUAUGUCCAAAUAAAUAAACAUUUGAGGCUAGCCACUUUUCCACUUUGAAGGCGCUAGGAUGAUGAUUAUGUGUAAGAGGGCCACCAGAGAAGUAGAAGCAAACUGGUCCAUGUCUGAAAGUUUUGUGCCUAUGCAUUUCAUGAUGAAGACCUUAUUGAGGAAUGUAAUGUCCUUCAACGAUUGACGUCUGUAUCUUCUUCUCAAGAAGCCUUCCUUUAUUCUUUGGUUCAAAUGGAAAUCUGCAAGAUGAAGAAAGAGUUAAGAGGCUUGUGUAUAUGGAUGUUAAGUUUAUGAUUUGUUUUUGCCAAGGAAUAAAAUGAAUGAUCAGUUGAAUAGUAAUGAACUUACUUUCUUGAACGUGGAAAGUGGCGGAGCUGUUGGACCUCAGUAGUGAGUUGGGGGUGGGGGAGAAGCAUAAGUGUAGACUGGUGGAGGAGGUGAUUUUUCGGGUGGGGGAGGUGAGAUGUAGUGGUAUGGAGGAGGUGGAGAUGGUGAAGGGGGAGGAGGGGAUGUGUAGACAUAGGGUGGUGGGGGUGAUUUCUCCGGCGGUGGUGGGGACUUGUAGUAGUAAGGUGGUGGAGGAGAUGGCGAUGGUGGUGGUGGGGACUUGUAGUAGUAAGGAGGGAGUGGUGAUGGAGAUGGUGGUGGGGGAGAUUUGUAGUAGUAGGGAUGAGGGGAUGGAGAUGGUGGUGGGGGAGAUUUGUAGUAGUAGGGAUGAGGGGAUGGAGAUGGUGGUGGGGGAGAUUUGUAGUAGUAGGGAUGAGGGGAUGGAGAUGGUGGUGGUGGGGAGACGUAAUGAUAAGGUGGUGGUGGAGAUUUCUCCGGCGGUGGUGGGGAGAUGUACUGAUAAGGUGGUGGUGGGGAUUUCUCCGGAGGUGGUGGGGAGAUGUAGUGAUAAGGUGGUGGUGGGGAUUUUUCCGGUGGUGGUGGGGAGAUGUACUGAUAAGGUGGUGGUGGAGAUUUUUCCGGUGGUGGUGGGGAGAUGUACUGAUAAGGUGGUGGUGGAGAUUUUUCCGGUGGUGGUGGGGAGACGUAAUAAUACGGCUUUGGUGGAGGUUUCACCGGUGGUGGCGGUGACUUGUAUAGGUAAGUUGGUGGUGGAGGUGGUGGUGAUUUAUAGACAUAAGUUGGUGGUGGUGGGGAGACGUAAUAAUACGGCUUUGGUGGAGGUUUCACUGGUGGUGGCGGUGACUUGUAUAGGUAAGUUGGUGGUGGAGGUGGUGGUGAUUUAUAGACAUAAGUUGGUGGUGGUGGGGAGACGUAAUAAUACGGCUUUGGCGGAGGUUUCACCGGUGGUGGCGGUGACUUGUAUAGGUAAGUUGGUGGUGGAGGUGGUGGUGAUUUAUAGACAUAAGUUGGUGGUGGUGGGGAGACGUAAUAAUACGGCUUUGGUGGAGGUUUCACCGGUGGUGGCGGUGACUUGUAUAGGUAAGUUGGUGGUGGAGGUGGUGGUGAUUUAUAGACAUAAGUUGGUGGCGGAGGAGAUAUGUAGUGGUAAGGAGCAGGAGUUGGCUUGGGCUUCUCACAUUCCUCAUAAGGAGUCUUGGGAGCAUAAGCAAAUGGUUUUGCGUAGAGCACGACUUCAUAGUCAGUCUUGGACUUGACUCUGAGUUCAG
rnacentral:lncRNA from 1 species